rnacentral:rRNA from 1 species
GAUGAACGCUGGCGGCGUGCUUAAUACAUGCAAGUCGAGCGAACAGAUGAGGAGCUUGCUCCUCUGACGUUAGCGGCGGACGGGUGAGUAACACGUGGAUAAUCUACUUAUAAGACUGGGAUAACUUCGGGAAACCGGCGCUAAUACCGGAUAAUAUAUUGAACCGCAUGGUUCAAUAGUGAAAGACGGUUUUGCUGUCUCUUAUAGAUGGAUCCGCGCCGCAUUAGCUAGUUGGUACGGUAACGGCUUACCAAGGCAACGAUGCGUAGCCGACCUGAGAGGGUGAUCGGCCACACUAGAACUGAGACGCGGUCCAGGCUCCUACGGGAGGCAGCAGUAGGGAAUCUUCCGCAAUGGUCGAAAGCCUGACGGAGCAACGCCGCGUGAGUUAUGAAGGUCUUCGGAUCGUAAAACUCUGUUAUUAGGGAAAAACAAAUGUGUAAGUAACUAUGCACGUCUUGACGGUACCGAGUCAGAAAGCCACGGCUAACUACGUG